CUGAACUUAAGCAUAUCAAUAAGCGGAGGAAAU
rnacentral:rRNA from 1 species